UAUGUACUCCCUCUGUCUGAAAAAGCUUGUCCCUCAAAUGGAUGUAUCCAGCACUAACUUGGUGAUAGAUACAUCCAUUUGAGGGACAAGCUUUUUCGGACGGAGGGGGUAUGCA
rnacentral:pre_miRNA from 1 species